rnacentral:rRNA from 1 species
ACUCAAAGGAAUUGACGGGGGCCCGCACAAGCGGUGGAGCAUGUGGUUUAAUUCGAUGCAACGCGAAAAACCUUACCUACCCUUGACAUCCUCGGAAUCCUUCAGAAAUGAGGGAGUGCCUUCGGGAACCGAGAGACAGGUGCUGCAUGGCUGUCGUCAGCUCGUGUCGUGAGAUGUUGGGUUAAGUCCCGUAACGAGCGCAACCCUCGCCCUUAGUUGCUAACAGUUCGGCUGAGAACUCUAAGGGGACCGCCGGUGAUAAACCGGAGGAAGGCGGGGACGACGUCAAGUCAUCAUGGCCCUUACGGGUAGGGCUACACACGUGCUACAAUGGGCAGUACAAUGGGUUGCCAAGCCGCGAGGUGGAGCUAAUCUCAAAAAACUGCUCUUAGUCCGGAUUGGAGUCUGCAACUCGACUCUAUGAAGUCGGAAUCGCUAGUAAUCGCAAAUCAGCAUGUUGCGGUGAAUACGUUCCCGGGCCUUGUACACACCGCCCGU